AGAUCAGGACAUAAAGCUCUCAGCCACUGCUCCAGCACCAGACCUAUCUGCUUCCGGACAUGAUGAUCAUGGACUAAAACUGAUCAACUGAUGCUCCCAGAACAAAACUAAAGGCCCUACUGUGACACAAAGAUUCCCUGCAGUCUGGCUUCUGCACACCUCCCACGUCUUUCAUGUUCGGGACUCGGCUUCCAGUCACCUCCCCCAGGGCUUCAAGGUCCUGGGAUCAAACUCCAGUCAUCAGGUUUGGUGGCCUGAACCUUCAUCUGCUGAACCAUGUCAGUGGCUCCUACAUAGUCUAACUUAUUCAGGCAAACCAGAGACAUCCAGGAAGGUGUGUGGUGCCCAGGGCAGUGGGACAUGUUUGAUUUCAUCUGCAGUCCCUGGGCAUCUGUUCAUUAACAUAUCUGUAAUGGCAUCAAAUGGAAGAAGGGGUCUCCACCCCAGCAUGAGAAGGUCCAAGGGUAAAUUCUCCCUCCUCUUUUAGAAAUUGUGUUUCUUGGCAAAAGGGCAUGUCUGAGAUGGCCCCCACCACAGUUCUAAAGCUGGUAGAUCUUAGGUCUUGGGUUUGCUCCUAAGUGGUCCUGUUGAAGUAAGUGUGUGUGUGUGUGUGUGUGUGUGUGUGUGUGUGUGUGUGUAGCAGAGUUUGAUGUCAGCUAUCUUCCCCAGUCACACUAAACCUCACCCAUUUAAUUUUUUUCUAUUAAAUGUAUUUAUUUAUUUAUUUACUGGAGCAAG